ACACGCGCCAAUUAUAGAGCAUUGGUUCUUUGGGAAAUUAUAAAAAAUUGUUUAAAAAAUGGAAACCCCAGAUUUUGAAUAAUUAACAAAAGAAAGUUGUUUAUUUAGCUGCUAUAAAUUCAGUAGUCCCUACCUUGUGAAACCAUACGUAUCUGAAGAACACGAGGAAGUUGAAGAGAGAGACAAACAUGAUACCUGAAGCCAGAAAUGAGGCGGAGGACUAUAUGUUAACUGUUGAAGUUCCUGAAACUGCCCAUGCUGUUAGCACUGAUUCAUGGCUCCAGGCAAGUUUUGUCUUAACCACUGGUGUCAACAGUGUAUUUGUCUUGGGAUAUUCCGGGACAAUCAUGGUUCCUCUCGGCUGGAUAGGAGGCAUAGUCGGUUUAAUGUUAGCCACUAUUGUGUCGUUGAAUGCGAACAUUCUUGUCGCCAAGCUCCAUGAGCAUGGAGGAAAGAGGCAUAUCAGAUACAGAGAUCUGGCAGCACAGAUAUAUGGUAGGAGAGCCUAUACUAUUACAUUGGCAACGCAAUAUGUUAAUCUGUUUAUGAUUAACAUUGGAUUUCUCAUCCUGGGUGGUUCUGCUUUAAAGGCUUGUUUUGCUGUUUUCAAUUACGAGCACACCAUGAAACUUCCUUACUGUAUUGCGAUAACCGGGUUUGCUUGUGCUUUGUUUGCCAUAUCGAUACCACAUCUGUCAGCUUUAAGAGUAUGGUUGGGAUGUUCAACAGUUCUUGGCCUGAUAUAUAUCAUCGUGGCAUGUGUGCUUGCAGCUAAAGACGGAAUUAAUGCACCUCCCCGAGAUUAUAGGAUACAUGGGAAAUCAAGUAGCAGAAUUUUUACAACUAUAGGAGCAUCUGCAAAUCUUGUGUUUGCAUUCAAUACUGGAAUGUUACCAGAAAUACAGUCUAGAGGAUGUGUCUUGAAAGUCAAGGAAAGAUGGGUGGGCAACAGUGAGGGAGCCUGCAGUGAGGAACAUGCUGAAAGCUUUGUACUUUCAGUUCACCGUCGGAGUGGUACCGAUGUUUGCCAUUACCUUUAUUGGCUACUGGGCUUAUGGAGCGGAAACAUCCACAUAUUUGCUUAACAGUGUAAGCGGUCCACUUUGGAUUAAGGCCUCUGCCAACAUAUCCGCCUUCCUGCAAUCCAUCAUUUGUUUGCACAUAUUCGCGAGUCCGACUUACGAGUACUUGGACACCAAGUUCGGUAUCAGAGGAAGCGCGCUGCAGCUCAACAACUUGUCCUUUGUGGAUUCC